rnacentral:rRNA from 1 species
GACGAACGCUGGCGGCGUGCUUAACACGUGCAAGUCGAACGGAAAGGCCCUGCUUUUGUGGGGUGCUCGAGUGGCGAACGGGUGAGUAACACGUGAGUAACCUGCCCUUGACUUUGGGAUAACUUCAGGAAACUGGGGCUAAUACCGGAUAGGAGCUCCUGCUGCAUGGUGGGGGUUGGAAAGUUUCGGCGGUUGGGGAUGGACUCGCGGCUUAUCAGCUUGUUGGUGGGGUAGUGGCUUACCAAGGCUUUGACGGGUAGCCGGCCUGAGAGGGUGACCGGCCACAUUGGGACUGAGAUACGGCCCAGACUCCUACGGGAGGCAGCAGUGGGGAAUAUUGCACAAUGGGCGGAAGCCUGAUGCAGCAACGCCGCGUGCGGGAUGACGGCCUUCGGGUUGUAAACCGCUUUCGCCUGUGACGAAGCAUGAGUGACGGUAAUGGGUAAAGAAGCACCGGCUAACUACGUG